rnacentral:rRNA from 1 species
UUCUUUAAGAUAUAAUAUAAAGUAAAACCUGCUCAAUGAAUAAUAAAUAGCCGCAAUAUAAUUGUGCUAAGGUAGCAUAAUAACUUGCUUCCUAAUUAGAAGAUGGAAUGAAUGGUUAAACAUUUAUUAAUUGUAUCUGCCUACCUAAAUUAAAUUAUAAUAAGAGUCACAAUACUCCAACAAAAAAGUGGGACGACAAGACCCUAAUAAACUUAAUAUUUAGUUGGGGAAACAUAAUUAAAAAACUUUAUUAAACCAAAAACACACCUUAAAAUAAAUUAUAGAAAAGUUACUAUAGGGAUAACAGCGCCAUUUUUUUUUAGAGACCCAAUCAAAAAAAAAGAUUACGACCUCGAUGUUGAAUUAAUUAUCCUAUAUUACGCAUACGUAAUAUUAAGGUAGUCUGUUCGACUAUUUAAAAAUU